UUCUUCACGCAGAUAGUAAUUGACGAACACAACACACCACGUGGAGAGAAGCAAGGUGUGGAGUACCCAAGCCUCUCACAGUCCAUGCUAGUAGACUCACCCUGCAUGUGGAGAUCUCCCAAAAUGCACGGAGGUUAUUCCAGAGCUGCAGGACAGAGUACUUGAGGCCAUUGGUGAACAGAAAGCUGAGGUUGAACAAAGCCAAGAAUUGAUAGCUGCCCAAGGUGUAAGCAAGAUUCACAAUGAUGAGGUCAUUGUGACGUGUGCAAUGUGUCCACUGGUCUUGGCCUUCCUGACCAAGGCAGCCACACAAAGGAAAUUCCACGUUAUUGUUGCCGAACGUGCCCCUAAAUAUGAUGUAAGGGUCACCCAGUGGCAAAAGCUUUAUGUACUGCUGGAAUUGAGACAACAUUAAUUCAAGACUCUGCAGUGUUCCCCAUCAUGUCACGUGUCAACAAGGUCAUCAAAGGUCAUCGUUGGCACCGAGACGGUGGUGACCAACGGAGGCAUUGAGACCUUUGUUGGUGCAGCCUCUCUUGCCUCACCACCAAAGUUUUAUUCUGUUCCACUGUAUGUGUGCACUCCCACAUACAAAUUUAGCUUGAUGGGCUGUGAAGAAAUAAGCCACCAAACCACCACUUCUAUUAUCCCAGAGGGAACAAAGUUUUGGCCGUCUGUAAAUACUGCGCUGACUCAGCUAGAUUACGUUCCUCCAGAAAAUGUCACCAGUUUGAUAACUAACAAUCGAGGUACUGCACCAUCCUACGUGUACCGGCAGCUUAGCGAACUGUACCGUCCCACUUCUUGUGAUCUCUAAGGUAACAGCUUUAAUCCUUGCAAAUAAGGAAUAAGAGAAAAGAGACACACCUGCCAUUUGUACUGUUAUGCUGUAGUGUUCUGUCAUUUUUUUCCUCUUUUAUCCUAGAACCAUUUUUGGUCAUUCAUGUUUAUAAAAAUUAUUAUACAAAAAUGUUGAGCUUAAUAUGUUUGGUGUAGUUUUUUGUAACAUGUGUUAUUGUUAAUGUGUGUGGUUCCCCUCAGGAAGAAUGUUGCAGUAUUAGCAGUAAUGUUACAGCCAAUGGAAGUGUCUGUAUUGUGCUUUGGUGGGAGGUUAAUUUGAUGUAUUUUUAGAGUUGUGCAGGAUAUAGCAAGCCCUCAAAAUAAAGAAAAUAACUAUAGAAAACA